CUAAUACCGCAUAAGCCCACGGCUCGGCAUCGAGCAGAGGGAAAAGGAAGCAAUCCGCUUUGAGAUGGCCUCGCGUCCGAUUAGCUAGUUGGUGAGGUAACGGCCCACCAAGGCGACGAUCGGUAGCCGGACUGAGAGGUUGAACGGCCACAUUGAGACUGAGACACGGCCCAGACUCCUACGGGAGGCAGCAUG
rnacentral:rRNA from 1 species